rnacentral:lncRNA from 1 species
GGCAGGGCGGGGCGGAACGGUGAGUUAUGCUGAGCGACUCUGCUCCUGGCCUCCUGGAGGCUCGAGACCCCCGCGCCAGGAGCGAGGUGGGAGAGUAGCUACGUGGGGUAUUAGUUUCCUCGCUCCUCAAGGGGAAUCAUAAUUUACGGGCGGUUGCGUGCCCUAGACUGACUGCUCUCCCCUUUCAGUGAGGACUGUGCUUCCUCCGAGGGAGUUGCGGGCCGGGACAUGCGGACCGAGCAUAUUUCUAGGUCUAGGGACAAGGGACUUGGAAUCCUGCCUCGGACUUUGUCGGAGGGUUUUAGUGACUUCUCUACGUAGCUCCCUCAUUGUCUCUCAUCUUUUGGCUCCCCUGUCAAGGACCAUCCCCCAUUCUAGGACUUCGAUGUGUGAUGCUUUGAUCAAAGGAUUGACAUUCCUUUUCUAAGUGUUUGCUGUCAGCUUUCAGCCACUUGAUUGGUUUGGAAUCGGAGCCUUUUCUCCUGCGAUUCCAGGUGUCCCUAAGGCGUUUGCAAUGGCUGCUACUGUGAACUUGGAACUUGAUCCCAUUUUUUUGAAAGCACUAGGUU